rnacentral:rRNA from 1 species
UUAUGGCAAUCUCCUUCGGAGAUUGGGUAGGGGAGCGUUCCAAGGUCGGCGAAGCGAGAUCGUGAGGACUCGUGGAGGGCUUGGAAGUGAGAAUGCCGGUAUGAGUAGCGAAAAGAGGGGUGAGAAUCCCCUCCGUCGAAAGCCCAAGGGUUCCUGAGGAAGGCUCGUCCGCUCAGGGUCAGUCGGGACCUAAGCCGAGGCCGAAAGGCGUAGGCGAUGGACAACAGGUUGAUAGUCCUGUACCACCUCGUGAUCGUUUGAACGAUGGGGGGACGCAGAAAGGUAGGGUGAGCGCGCCGCUGGCUGUGCGCGUUGAAGCAGGUAGGCUGGAACGUAGGCAAAUCCGCGUUCCGUGAGGCUGAGCUGUGACCAUGAAGGACCUUCGGGUCCGAAAUCCCUGAUCCUCCGCUGCCAAGAAAAGCCUCUAGUGAGAUCACAGGUGCCCGUACCGCAAACCGACACAGGUAGGCGAGAAGAGAAUUCUAAGACGCUCGGGAGAACUCUCGUUAAGGAACUCGGCAAAAUGACCCCGUAACUUCGGGAGAAGGGGUGCUCUAGUAGGGUGCAUAGCCCGAGAGAGCCGCAGUGAAAAGAUCCAAGCGACUGUUUAGCAAAAACACAGGUCUCUGCGAAGCCGCAAGGCGAAGUAUAGGGGCUGACACCUGCCCGGUGCUGGAAGGUUAAGAGGAGGGGUUAUCCCUUCGGGGAGAAGCUCUGAAUUGAAGCCCCAGUAAACGGCGGCCGUAACUAUAACGGUCCUAAGGUAGCGAAAUUCCUUGUCGGGUAAGUUCCGACCCGCACGAAUGGUGCAACGACUUGGAUACUGUCUCAACGAGAGACCCGGUGAAAUUAUAGUACCUGUGAAGAUGCAGGUUACCCGCGACAGGACGGAAAGACCCCAUGGAGCUUUACUGUAGCUUGAUAGUGAGUGUUGGUAUCGUUUGUACAGGAUAGGUAGGAGCCGUGGAAGCCGGAGCGCUAGCUUCGGUGGAGGCGUCGGUGGGAUACUACCCUGACGGUGCGGACAUUCUAACCUCGACCCGUGAUCCGGGUCAGGGACAGUGUCAGGUGGGCAGUUUGACUGGGGCGGUCGCCUCCUAAACAGUAACGGAGGCGCCCAAAGGUUCCCUCAGAAUGGUUGGAAAUCAUUCGAAGAGUGCAAAGGCAGAAGGGAGCUUGACUGCGAGACCUACAAGUCGAGCAGGGACGAAAGUCGGGCUUAGUGAUCCGGCGGUGCCGUAUGGAAGGGCCGUCGCUCAACGGAUAAAAGCUACCCUGGGGAUAACAGGCUUAUCUCCCCCAAGAGUCCACAUCGACGGGGAGGUUUGGCACCUCGAUGUCGGCUCGUCGCAUCCUGGGGCUGAAGUAGGUCCCAAGGGUUGGGCUGUUCGCCCAUUAAAGCGGCACGCGAGCUGGGUUCAGAACGUCGUGAGACAGUUCGGUCCCUAUCCGUCGCGGGCGUAGGAAAUUUGAGAGGAGCUGUCCUUAGUACGAGAGGACCGGGAUGGACAUACCGCUGGUGUACCAGUUGUUCCGCCAGGAGCAUCGCUGGGUAGCUACGUAUGGUCGGGAUAAGUGCUGAAAGCAUCUAAGCAUGAAGCCCCCCUCAAGAUGAGAUUUCCCAUGGCGUAAGCCAGUAAGACCCCUCAGAGAUGAUGAGGUAGAUAGGUCUGGAGUGGACGCGUGGCGACACGUGGAGCGGACAGAUACUAAUCGGUCGAGGGCUUAUCCUC